GGUAGCUGAUCCUGAUCACAUUGCUAAAGAAGCAUAUGCAGAGACUGCCAUGAGACUAUUAACUUAUGUUCUGUGUCUUAUUUUACAGUUUCACAUGGAACAAAUAGCUGGGGAAGAAACAAACAUGUUCUCCUGGGGCAUACUUCUUUAAUUUCACAUGGUGACAAAUUUUAGAGAGGGCAGCCGUGUUGUUGUUUUUGCUGAAACAGACUGAGGAGUCCUGUGACAAAGCCCACCAAAGUUGAUGCCCAAAUAAAUCUGUUAGUCUUCAAGAUACCACAGGACUCUUCGUUAAUUUCACAGGUGUCUUGGAUGGGUUUCUGCUGCAGGACCAGACACACAAAAGAACUACUGCCCUGAUCUAAGAACUAGUUGGCCAACUGGAACUGGCUGAAAUUUUCCAACUGGAAUUGCCACGGGAGAGUAUAAACGAAAAGAGAAUUUGGCCAGCCAACAGAGUUCACCUACUAAACAAGAGAGGAAACCCUCGACAUUCCUGGUGGGUGCGUUCCUGGGACUACUGCGAAUGGCGAAAUUCAUAAAUACCGGGAGCCACGGCUUCCGGCCCCUGUGGUGAGCUUCCCGCAACUCCUGAACUCACUGCGGCUCUGCCCACAUCUCUUGGCUGCUGCGCUGAAUUCCCAGCAUCUUCCGGCCCCCACUGCCCACCCCAGGGUGGGCCGGGAGAGACCUGUGAUUCACAGAAUCGCACAUAGUUAUUCUGUGAAUCGUGAGGGUUUACUGUAUCAAGCUGCCAGGAUAGACUAAUCAAGUUUGCUACCAUCUAAGAAGAAAAA